AGCUAAAUUGUCAGAGCAUUAGCGUGUAAAGUCAAAAGUUCCGGGUUCGAUUCCCGG
rnacentral:tRNA from 1 species